ensembl:lncRNA
GUUGACAAGUGAAAGCUGAAUAUGACUACUGGGUUGACUAGUGAAAGCUGAAUAUGACUACGGGGUUGACUAGUGAAAGCUGAAUAUGACUACUGGGUUGACUAGUGAAAGCUGAAUAUGACUACGGGGUUGACUAGUGAAAGCUGAAUAUGACUACGGGGUUGACAAGUGAAAGCUGAAUAUGGCCAAGGUAAAGGCCUCCCCAGGGUAAACACUCCUCAAAGGAUGUGCGACCAAGUACUAAUCAUUACUUAUUUAUUGUAUGUAACUUUAAUAUGCCCAAAUACUUCUGGCACCCUAAAAUGUGGGAACUAUGUAAAAAAACACACUGUGAUUUCAAAAUUAUUAAUACGAUAAAAAAAACUGAAAUUUAAGCGGCCACGUUCAAUGACCCCAUAGUAAUUUAUUAUUUCAAAAAAGCUGGAAUACAGAAGAAAACAAAUAGGUCAUUUCCAAAUACUUUUAGAGAUUAGUGUGCAUACAUUAGUGACAGUAGUCAGAGUAGUUAGCAUGGUUCGAUCUAGAUUGAGCAAAGUAAUUACAGGUGUAUCCCACAGCAAUCUUAAUAGAACAAGGCCUUCCUCCAUUUUAGUGAUUAACAAAAAAGACUGUAAUGCCUCGCAUCUCAGAAUUGGACUCCUUAAUGUUAGCUCUCGUGGUUCAGAGGCAAUUGCAGGUAAUUAAUUAAUCACUGAUCAUAAGCUGGAUAUAACUGGCCUGUUGUGAAACCGGGCUAAAGCCUGAUGCUUACUGUCCUAAAUGAGGCUACAUUGAUCAUAUCCAGGGGUGUAAAAAGUACAAAGUAGAAAUACUCGGCUGUGUUCACCAGUUUUGGGAAGUUCCUAAAGAAGGGUUAAAUGACCAUGUAAACAGAGUUCAUAACUCAUCAGUGUCCUUAAUUGAUAAUUUACACUCUUCCUUUUUAUUUAAUUGAUCACUAGUUAGUUUUGAACUCCCUUUACCUGGUUAUUUAGAUCUUAAUUAGAUACUUCCCAAAAGUGGUGAACACAGCCGAACCCAGUACUUUUACUUUGUACUUUUUACACCUCUGAUCAUAUCCCUGUGAAUCCCAUAAAGGGGGAGGUGUUGCUAAUAUGUAUAACAAAAAUCAAGUUCUUAUUUGUCAUUACUCCAUUUGUAAUAAUUGUUGCACCAACAGCCAGUACAAAUUCCUAGUUUGAUGUGGAACUUUCUUGGCAAUGAAACUCUUUCUGAAUCUGAUUUACAGUGAAACACAUGACAGGGUUUCUGUCUUUUAAGGUUUUAGUCAUGAAAGCUAUGCAGGCCACUCAAUAAUUGUUCAGAGCAACUGUUUACAGCCCCCCUGGGACGUAUUCAGUGUUCCUCAAUAAGUUCCCAGAAUUCUUAUCAAACCUUAAGGUCACAACAGAAAAUAUUCUAAUUGGCCAUUUCAAUAUUCACUUGGAAAAGUCCCAUAAUUGACUCAGUGGGUUACAUCUUGGGAUAUACACCUUAGUCUUAUUCCAUGGAAUACAUAUUGUGGAUCUGAUGUGGAAGUGUUUUCCCUCAUAAUCCAGGUGAAUAAAAAUAAUCCAACAUUUGUAUUUGUGGCAGUUAACCAAAAUGCAACACGCAACAAGUGAUGAAAACCUGAACUUCUUUGAUAAAAAGAUCAUCAUCACUAGAAAACAAGUAACAGACUCCUUGUGAAUUAAGUCCUCAAAAACUCAGUCCAGAGCUACCCUGACCUGGAACUAAUGGGGACAAUUGGACUUUUGAAUUCCAUAUAGCUUGAUAUGUUCACUAAAAUAUAAAUGAGCUCUAAACCCACCAGAUGUUAACUAAACUACUUAAGGAGCUGGUGCUUGGUCUGCCUGUUUUGAACAUUCUAAAUAUAAAUGUGUAUCUAACUCAAUAAAAGAGGCAGAAAUUGCUAACCUGCAAAGAAUUACAUGGACUUCCUCCUAUAUAGCUCUCUGAAUUGGUCCAACCAUACAUAUCUAAACAUAGGCUAAGAUGGAGGCCUCCUUAUUGUAACUAGGAAUUUCUAAACAAACAGCUGUAGGAAAAUGUGGGUGGAGUUACUUCCUGCCUGGCUGGCCCUGUCCAGGAUUCCUUCAGACAGGGCCAGAGUGUCUCUGGACCCCCCUGUCUCAACCUCUAGUUUUAGGCUGCUUUAUUAUUGUGCCGGGGGACUAGGGACAGCCUGUGUUUUCUUAAGUCCCAAAUGUUUAAGUUGCAUUAGUUUAUGUGAUCGGGACAAGGGUCAGUCUGAAAAGUGCUCAGGUAUGGUUUUGAAUCCAUGGAAUUCUCAGGUAUGGUUUUGAAUCCAUGGAAUGCUCAGGUAUGGUUUUGAAUCCAUGGAAUGCUCAGGUAUGGUUUUGAAUCCAUGGAAUGCUCAGGUAUGGUUUUGAAUCCAUGGAAUGCUCAGGUAUGGUUUUGAAUCCAUGGAAUGCUCAGGUAUGGUUUUGAAUCCAUGGAAUGCUCAG